rnacentral:rRNA from 1 species
AUUCUGUGUGCACGAUGAAGUUUUUCGGAAUGUAAAGUGCUUUCAGUUGGGAAGAAGAAAGUGACGGUACCAACAGAAGAAGCGACGGCUAAAUACGUGCCAGCAGCCGCGGUAAUACGUAUGUCGCAAGCGUUAUCCGGAUUUAUUGGGCGUAAAGCGCGUCUAGGCGGUUUGGUAAGUCUGAUGUGAAAAUGCGGGGCUCUACUCCGUAUUGCGUUGGAAACUGCCAAACUAGAGUACUGGAGAGGUAGGCGGAACUACAAGUGUAGAGGUGAAAUUCGUAGAUAUUUGUAGGAAUGCCGAUGGGGAAGCCAGCCUACUGGACAGAUACUGACGCUAAAGCGCGAAAGCGUGGGUAGCAAACAGGAUUAGAUAUCCGGUGUCCACGCCGUAAACGAUGAUUACUAGGUGU